rnacentral:rRNA from 1 species
GACGAACGCUGGCGGCGUGCUUAACACAUGCAAGUCGAACGAUGAAGCCGGAGCUUGCUCUGGUGAAUUAGUGGCGAACGGGUGAGUAACACGUGAGUAACCUGCCCUUGACUCUGGGAUAACUGCGGGAAACUGUAGCUAAUACCGGAUACGACCCUCGGAGGCAUCUCCUGGGGGUGGGAAGAAUUUCGGUCAAGGAUUGACUCGCGGCCUAUAAGCUAGUUGGUGAGGUAAAGGCUCACCAAGGCGACGACGGGUAGCCGGCCUGAGAGGGUGGCCGGCCACACUGGAACCGAUACACCGCCCAGCCCGCUACGGGAGGCAGCAGUGGGGAACAUUGCACAACGGGCGCAAGCCUGAUGCAGCAACGCCGCGUGAGGGAUGACGGCCUUCGGGUUGUAAACCUCUUUUAGCAGGGAAGAAGCGAAAGUGACGGUACCUGCAGAAAAAGCACCGGCUAACUACGUGCCAGCCGCCGCAGUAA